UACAGAGGGUGCAAGCGUUAAUCGGAAUUACUGGGCGUAAAGCGUGCGUAGACGGUCAUGUAAGUCGGGUGUGAAAGCCCCGGGCUCAACCUGGGAAUUGCAUUCGAGACUGCAUGGCUAGGAUGCGGAAGAGGGAAGCGGAAUUUCCGGUGUAGCGGUGAAAUGCGUAGAUAUCGGAAGGAACACCAGUGGCGAAGGCGACUACCUGGCCUGUUCUUGACGCUGAGGCGCGGAAGCUAGGGGAGCAAACGGG
rnacentral:rRNA from 1 species